GGAGGAAUGGCCGAGCGGUUGAAGGCGGCGGUCUUGAAAACCGUUAGGGGUGCAAGCCCCUCGUGGGUUCGAAUCCUACUUCCUCCGCCA
rnacentral:tRNA from 1 species